rnacentral:rRNA from 1 species
GACAGAGGGUGCAAACGUUGUUCGGAAUUACUGGGCGUAAAGCGCGUGUAGGCGGCUACGUGUGUCGGGCGUGAAAUCCCAUGGCUCAACCAUGGAAGUGCACCCGAAACUGCGUAGCUAGAGUCCUGGAGAGGAAGGUGGAAUGCUUGGUGUAGAGGUGAAAUUCGUAGAUAUCAAGCGGAACACCGGUGGCGAAAGGCGGCCUUCUGGACAGUGACUGACGCUGAGACGCGAAAGCGUGGGGAGCAAACAGG